rnacentral:rRNA from 1 species
CAGCCGCCGCGGUAAUACGUAGGGUGCGAGCGUUAAUCGGAAUUACUGGGCGUAAAGCGGGCGCAGACGGUUACUUAAGCAGGAUGUGAAAUCCCCGGGCUCAACCUGGGAACUGCGUUCUGAACUGGGUGACUAGAGUGUGUCAGAGGGAGGUAGAAUUCCACGUGUAGCAGUGAAAUGCGUAGAGAUGUGGAGGAAUACCGAUGGCGAAGGCAGCCUCCUGGGAUAACACUGACGUUCAUGCCCGAAAGCGUGGGUAGCAAACAGGAUUAGAUACCCGUGUAGUCCCUGUCUCUUAUAC